UAAGGAAUAUUGGACAAUGGGCGCAAGCCUGAUCCAGCAAUGCCGCGUGGAUGAAGAAGGUCUUCGGAUUGUAAAGUCCUUUCGGCGGGGACGAUGAUGACGGUACCCGCAGAAGAAGCCCCGGCUAACUUCGUGCCGGCAGCCGCGGUAAUACGAAGAGGGCUAGCGUUACUCGGAAUGACUGGGCGUAAAGGGCGCGUAGGCGGUUUGGACAGUUAGGCGUGAAAUUCCUGGGCGCAACCUGGGGGCUGCGCUUUAUACAUCCAGACUGGAGUGUGGAAGAGGGUCGUGGAAUUCCCAGUGUAGAGGUGAAAUUCGUAGAUAUUGGGAAGAACACCGGUGGCGAAGGCGGCGACCUGGUCCAUUACUGACGCUGAGGCGCGAAAGCGUGGGGAGCAAACA
rnacentral:rRNA from 1 species